rnacentral:rRNA from 1 species
AGAGUUUGAUCCUGGCUCAAGAUCUACGCUAGCGGCACGCUUAACACAUGCUAGUCGAGGGGCAGCAUGACACGGAUAUUCGUCGAAGUGUUGAUGGCGACCGGCGCAAGGGUGCGUAGCGCGUGAGCAACUUGCCCGUUUCUGGUUAAUAACCGUUGGAAACGACCACUAAUCCCCCCUGGUAUCAUUAAGAGGCAUCUUUUAAUGAUUAAAGAAUUUCAGAAUACGGAUAUGCUCGCGUGACAUUAGCUAGAUGGCGGGGUAACGGCCCACCAUGGCGACGAUGUCUAGGGGUUCUGAGAGGAAGGUCCCCCACACUGGAACUGAGACACGGUCCAGACUCCUACGGGAGGCAGCAGUGAGGAAUAUUGGUCAAUGGUCGAGAGACUGAACCAGCCAUGCCGCGUGAAGGUGACGGCCCUAUGGGUCUUAAACUUCUUUUGUAAGGGAGCAAUAAGGUCUACGUGUAGGCUGAUGAGAGUACCUUACGAAUAAGCAUCGGCUAACUCCGUGCCAGCAGCCGCGGUAAUACGGGGGAUGCAAGCGUUAUCCGGAUUUAUUGGGUUUAAAGGGUGCGUAGGCGGUUUAUUAAGUCAGCGGUGAAAUUUAGGGGCUCAACCUCUACCGUGCCGUUGAUACUGGUAGGCUUGUAUGCGGAUGCCGUGGGAGGAAUGUGUGGUGUAGCGGUGAAAUGCAUAGAUAUCACACAGAACACCGAUUGCGAAGGCAUCUCACGAAUCCGCAAUUGACGCUGAUGCACGAAAGCGUGGGGAUCAAACAAAAUUACAUACCCUGGUAGUCC